GAUGAAGAACGUAGCGAAAUGCGAUACUUGGUGUGAAUUGCAGAAUCCCGUGAACCAUCGAGUCUUUGAACGCAAGUUGCGCCCGAAGCCAUUAGGCCGAGGGCACGCCUGCCUGGGCGUCACACGUCGUUGCCCCCCCAUCUACUCCUUCGGGAUUGCGGGGGGCGGAUGAUGGCCUCUCGUGCGCCUCGUCGCGCGGUUGGCCUAAAUGCCAAGUCCUCGGUGACGCACGCCACGACAAUCGGUGGUUGCGAAACCUCGGUUGCCUGUCGUGUGCGGUCGUCGCGCAUCGAGGGCUCGAAAAAAUUGCCGGGCUUCGGCUCGACUUUCAACGCGACCCCAGGUCAGGCGGGGUUACCCGCUGAAUUUAAGCAUAUCAAUAAGCGGAGGA
rnacentral:misc_RNA from 1 species